rnacentral:rRNA from 1 species
ACUCCUACGGGAGGCAGCAGUGGGGAAUUUUGGACAAUGGGGGAAACCCUUAUCCAGCCAUGCCGUGUGAGUGAAGAAGGCCUUCGGGUUGUAAAGCUCUUUCAGCCGGAACGAAACGGUCACGGCUAAUACCUGUGAUCACUGACGGUACCGGAAGAAGAAGCACCGGCUAACUACGUGCCAGCAGCCGCGGUAAU